UACCGCGUCUCUCGGGAGGCGCUGAGUUACUGCGCCUGGGCGCUGCGGGGCCGGCAACCCGCUCCACAGACGAGCCCCAGGGGCUGCAUACUCCCGCGCUGCAGGGGCACUCGCCCCACCCUUCGGCAAUUUAUCACUCCGCACUUAUAGUAGUUUCAGAUCCAUGCGUAUAUUAAAUUAUGCAUUUGCCACUACAUGCGUUAAUGGCAAGUGCAACGAUGUUCCGACGGCUAACUCUCGCCUUUCUGUGUGCAGAGUCGAGCCUCGUGCUGCUCCAGUCGAGAGUGGAGACAGGUGCGCGAUGUAUCGAGAGUCAGUAUCGAUUCCUGGAACUGUUCUGGCCGUGUGAAUGCCGAGGCCACACUCAGCCCUGAUUGGAGCGCUUAUCGCCAGCCCGCAGCUGGUGACAUCACCAGCACCUUCGAGCAUAUAUAUCAUAGAGAGCUUAUUCGUCGUUUGUUUGGAAACCGAGAUCUCGAACAGCUGAUUGUUGGCUACCUGCUGGAAAACUUCCAUAAGAACCAAUGUAGUGGCGGGCUAUCGUGCGGGAUUUCUAUAGUUUGCUGCGUUUGAGAAAGAUAAUAGGUUUGGUUUAUAUUAAUAAACGUAUUAAUUAACCAACGUAGAAAUAUAUUAGUGCUGAAGCUUAUCAGAAAGUUUGUAAAAUAUGGUUUUUUAACUUGAAGACCCAACCCUUGUUUACCCUACUUCAAAUGUAUUUAAUUUAAUAUGGUUACUUCUUGUGUUGCGUACGGAUGUAAUGAGAGAUUCGAAAAAAGAAGCAGUGUUUCGUUUUACAGUUUCCCAGUUGAUGAGAAAAGAAGAAGUAUUUGGACUUUGGCUCUUAAAAGGGUUGAUUUAUAUAUGAUCUUUUGUUUUGAGUAAAGAGCAGACAUUCAUAAAACUAAACAGGGUUGAUGCAUUUGUAAACAAAGAUUGUGCAAUGAUAUGGAUGCCAAUGAUGUGACCAAAUUCUUGUAAUUUAUGUCUUUGGACUAAAUUUAUUUACUACUUAUUAGAAUGUAAACUCAAGAAAUGUAACAUACUGUAUAUGCCUAUGUUUACCAUAAUUAUAUAGUUUUAAGUUUCAUUGAAGCUAAAUGUAAAAUGAUUUUGGAAAAGUAUCUGUAUGUGUGUGUGAAUGUGACAUACAAUUGUACAUGAACUAUUGUAUUUAAUAAAAUAGAUUUUCUUACUUUUUUUUUUAACUAAAAUGGUUUUCAAUUUUGAUUUAUUAUUUAUUUUAGAACCUGAAACCUCAUAUAUUUAACUGCUGUAAUUUAAACAUAACUUGUUAUUUUUUGUUUACUUUUAAUUGUAGGUAAUUAGAUACUGUAGAUACCUACCAUAUUGUUUUUCAGUUCCUAACUCGGUGGCCAAGGCGGCAGUUCAGCUUGUCGCUCAGCAAGUCAGAAUAUAAUGUCUAUAUUUAAAUGUGUGCUUUAAUAAGAAUAAAUUUGUCAUUCCUUCCUCA